AAACUUUCAACAACGGAUCUCUUGGCUCUGGCAUCGAUGAAGAACGCAGCGAAAUGCGAUAAGUAAUGUGAAUUGCAGAAAUCGUGAAUCAUCGAAUCUUUGAACGCACAUUGCGCUCUUCGGCAUUCCGAAGAGCAUGCCUGUUCGAGCGUCAUUA
rnacentral:rRNA from 1 species